CGUCCCUGCAGUCGCCGCCGCUGUUGCGCCUAUUGCCGCUGUUUAGGCCGCCGCCGCGAUCGCGAGCCAGAGCACCGUCACUCGUCAGCGCCCGACGCGUGCGCAUCAUCACCGCCGCGACGAGGGGAGGCGAGGAGGAAGGAAGGCUGGUCGAGCCCGCGCUCUUGCCGCGGGGCCCGCUGGGAAACGUAGUUCAAUGCCCGGUCGCGGACGCGCAGAAGGAGUGGCGCCCUGCCGGCAGAGGCACAAAGCCUGGGCGGCGCGUCUGCUGUGGGCUGUAAAGGAGAUCUUGGAGAGACGUUGGGCUUGAGCACAGUAACCUCCUCCCACUCUGCUUCUCCCCAUCAUGGUUCAGCUGGCAGAAGGUGCAUGUGAAACCAAAGACAGGAGCUGUUGAUGUUUUAUUAAGAUGAAAAAAGAGAAAAGCAAACCUGGGGUUGAAUAAGCACUGUCCAUGAACCGUAGGCCUAAAGCAGAACUGGAAAAUACAUGCAGCUUACCAGUGUUUCUUUAGACACACAAGGGCUUUGCUGCCAAGCACACAGGGCUGGAAUUCUGGCUUUGCCGCUCUGCCUACUGGACUUUGGAGGACUCAAAACCUUCUGGGCCUUGGCUUUCUGCUCUAUAGAAGGGAAACUUUAAAAUCCACCUUAUAAAACCAUAGUGAGGAGUAAAUGUGAUCAUCUGUGUACAGCACUGAGUGUAUUUACUGGUAUGCAAGAAGCACAGUAAAUGGAUGCAGUUAUAACCUAAUGUAGUUAGCCAUCAUUAUGGGUAUUUCUUGGAAGCAUAACAAUAUUUAAAGGGACAAUGAUACAGUAGUCCUACAUUCAUGUAACUGAUUCACUGAAAGCUGUACCAGAAAAGAAAUAAGAGGAAGAAAUCUGCAAUGAACCUGGACCCAGUUGGUUUUAUUUUUUGUUUUUAGCUGAAACAAAUAGUUUAUUGGGAGACAACUCAGCUCAUGAAAAUCCUAUUACUACUACAGUAUUUCUUCACCAAGAAACUUUUUUUAUUUUUUCCCCUAUGACAUGGUAACCAUCUGCCAAUCAUAAAUCAGCAAAUACAGAAGCUGCUGGCCUUUCACUAGUAGAUGAAGCAUAUCCACUAAUUGCAAAAGAAAUAAAUUUGGUCAAAGUCCAUCCUGGAUUUAAAAAAUAGCCUUCCUUUAUUCUUUAAAAGGGGCGGAGAAUCUUGCCCCUUCACUGAAUCAGCAGCCACUGAGAAGCACUUACGAGAAGCACCUGUGGGCCCAUCCCUCCAGCUGAAGGCCUGAGACCCAUGAUGGCUGGAGCAUCAUCCUUGCUAAUCAAUGCUGAAGUGCAGUUGCUUGCCUCACUCAUCCUGAAGUCCACGCCGAAUGGUAGUCACUGUGCAAAGCAGUCAUGGUCUGCCUCUGGGGACUGAGGAGCGGGUCUACACAGAUGGGAAGGAGCCCCCACUCUUCCCUGUCCACCACCGGCUGCAGUGAACGUGCCUCUCCCCUUACUCCUCAUGGGGUCUACCUUUGCAGCUAGGCUUCCUCACACACCGGCCAUGGUCCUUCUCUCUCAAGGUGCUGGCGAUGGAACCCAGGGCCUGUGCAUACAAGGUAAGCGCUGUACCACUGAGCCACAACCCCAGCCCCCUGUAUCCAUCUUAGAAAGAGAGGAUAACGCAGAGGCCAAACAGGUGUUCACAUGUCUCAUCUACUCUUACUGGUUUUUAAUCCCAUUUUUCUCAUCCUUUAAUCUCCUUUCCAUGUUCCAAGAAGAAAUUCUGAGUCUAAUGGACCACAUAAGAGCAUCCAGGUCUUCAAGCUGUGUUCAGUGCAAAAAUAUUUCCCAGAGACCUAAAUACUGCUUGAUUCUUAGGGAAAAUCAUUAGCAUAUAGAAGCCUCCUAGUUUUUCAAGGUUCAGAGAUACUUCUAGAAGAAAGGGUCUAUGUAACUAAUAAAUAUCCCAAAGUAGACAAAUUACAAAGUGAAAUCUCUAUAGAUGGCUUGCACUGAUUUGUUUAAUUUCUUGUUAAUUUAUUUGGAGAGAACAGCUUACCCUUUUUUAAAUGGAAGCUGGCUAGGUAGGACAUAUUAGGCUGGCAAUAUCAUUGACCUAUUUGAUUCCAGAAGGAGGUUAGGAGUGCUGAGCUAAAUUGGAACUCCUAAAAAGGAUUAAGUCCUAGAGAAAGAUGAUGGCAUCACACACUGACUGAAAAUCAUUCACAAGCAACGAUUGGGAAGACUCACCCCCUGGGAUGGUUGUUGAUAUUGAUCAAAGUCAGCUAUGUUUAUUGACUUAACUCAACAAAAAAGUCACAUAUUGUUACUAUGACAUCAGAAUCCUACUCCAUGUUCAAUAACAAUGGCCAGGGUGUAAAUCAUGAGGGGGAUAGGCAGGCCCAGCAGCAGGCAGAGAAGGGAACUUCUUGGCACUGAGCAGAUUACCAGAAUUACUUUCCUUAUUCCAAGAGCCCUCACACUCCAGGCGUAAGUUAUUAAUAUCUUUUCCCUUAAAGUUGACUAAGCAUCAGUACCUGAUUGACCAGGAAGUAUCAACUGCCUGCAGAGCACUCUACUAAAUGUCAUAAAGAAAGAAAAUCAUUCUUCUGAAGAGAAUGUCCUUUUUAUCCCCGCUGAACAUUUGGUACAGAGAUGGGGUUAGUUAGGGACCAAAGAAAUCAGACUUCAUGCACGUGUCAAAAGGAACCUUCAAGUUCUCCUAGGCUGGUGCCACCAUUGAUCGGUGAGUUAUUUCUCCAACUUCGCCUACAGGUGCCCAUUCUGUUUAGGGUUUAUUCUAUCUGGAAAUGGAGAUCCAUGCUUUCUGGGGUGGACAGUGGUCUCUGCCGGGGACAGCUGUUUUUCUGAGUGGGAGUCAGGACGGGGAGGGUCACAUGGGAAAACUCAGGCUGCUCCUUGGUGAGCUCUGGAGCCCUGGAGUCUCAGCCUCCAUGAACCUGAACCUCACGAAGGCUUCCUCCACAAGUCUUGCACCUCUGGCUGAAAAGCUGCUAUUCCCUCAGACUUGUGUUGGUUUAGGCAUCUCUACUUUAAACAAAAGCCCUUGUUCAUUGGAGUGGUUCGUCCAUUUGGGAUUUUAUUUCCAUUUUGUUAUUCAUUUGUUCAUUUAAUAAACUUGUAUUGAGCCAUUAUUGUCUCUCAUUGUAGGAAAUUGAGGGCCCGAGAGCUCAGGCUGUAUACUCAGCCACAAUCAAUGACUUAGUGAAGAAUGGACAUCUCCUGACUCAAAAUUCCAGUGUAUUUUUACACCAUUUGGGGAAUGAUGUUAUUUUGUUAUCACAGAGUAAUUUUUAAAAAUCAUAUUAUUUAUUAAUGUACAUCUCAUUUCUCUCUCACUAGUGGCAACAAGAAAUGGAUAGCACCAGGAUGAUAGGGUGUGGAGAGGACACAGAAGGGACAUGCACUGAGAUUGUACAGCAUGCCAGGCCGAGCACCAGACCCUCUCCAUGUAGCACCCCACUUAAUUUUCAUAACCAUCCUGUGACAAAUGGAAUAUGGUUUCCAUUUUACAGAUGAGGAAAUUGAGGCUCAGAGAUGUUAAAUAACUUGCCCAAGGUCAUCUAGCUGUCCAAUGUCAGAGUGGGGGUGUGUGUCUGUUCUUCUUUGUUUUGGUUUGGUUAUGGGAAUUGAUAGAGAUGGGAAUUGAUAGAGAUGGGUAUUGAACCCUGUUCUUUCUGACUCAAAAGCCAAUAAACUAUAUUGCUUCCCAUGCUCCAAGCAAAAGUAACUGAGCAUCUAAAUGCCAUUUAAUUCCAAUGAUCUCUGUGCUGAUUUUCAUGCACUUCAAGGAAUAGCCUUUAUAUUGUUCAUUGAUCUCAUUGAUCUUGAGAUCCUAACAGUCUGUGUAAAAAAAAAAAAAAUUUAAAUCCUCCUUCAAGUAACGCAUGUAUUAUUACCUAGUUAUGUUACUGAAGAGAAGUGAACAAAAAGUGGGACAGAAGAGAUUACUAGAUUUUCUCUGAUCUCUGACCUUCUGGUACAUCUGUUGUGAACUUUUUGCUAUGAAAACUGAUUUUAAUUUAGUCCCUGCAAGCCUCUGUCAUAGAUCUCUACAGAGGGUCACCUACACUUGGAGUCCUCUUCCUCUUCUAUAUGAUGGUGCUUCACGUUGUUUGCAUUGGCUGUCAAUCUUUCUAGUCAUAGCAUAGUUGGAUCUGUGGCUUCUGAUUAAAGCUGGCAGAUUAGUCACAUGGUUUGUAACUUCUCCCUCUCUAAACUCAUCAUGUGUGACAGUAAAUGAAUUAAUAAAAUCAUUAAACUACCAGGGAGAAAGAACAGAUGACCCCCAUGGAAAAAAGAUUUUAUUACAACUUGGGGAGAGAGAAACUCAUUUAGCAGGGCAGGGGAAAUGACAGCUGAAGGACCAGCCGUAGGCUGGCCUCAAGGAGGCUCUUGGUUCGACCGACCCUUGGCUGAACACAAGAUGGGUGCAGUGUCUGGGGCACACCGCUGACUGCCCGCUCUUCUUUCCCACCCAGAGCAGCUAGGAAAGGGAGUUUGUCUCCCACCCCAUAAGAGCCUAGGGGUGCAUUCUCCAGGGACUUGAGAAUCCAGAGGAAGAGGCUUAGUUGAAUGUAUUCACUUAGCACAGCGAGCGACCGAGAUGGGAAUACCUUCAAACUGGACGUGGGGUUG